UACAGAGGUCUCAAGCGUUGUUCGGAUUCAUUGGGCGUAAAGGGUGCGUAGGCGGCGCGGUAAGUCGGGUGUGAAAUCUCGGAGCUUAACUCCGAAACUGCAUUCGAUACUGCCGUGCUUGAGGACUGGAGAGGAGACUGGAAUUUACGGUGUAGCGGUGAAAUGCGCAGAUAUCGGGAAGAACACCCGUGGCUAAGGCGGCUCUCUAGUACGGUACUGACGCUGAGGCGCGAAAGCUAGGGGAGCAAACAGG
rnacentral:rRNA from 1 species